rnacentral:tRNA from 1 species
GCCGGGGUGGUGAAAUUGGUAGACACAAGAGACUUAAAAUCUCUCGGCUUCGGCCGUACGGGUUCGAUUCCCGUCCCCGGCACCA